rnacentral:lncRNA from 1 species
AUUCCUCCGUCUUUGCUCAUAAUCCUCCCACUCCUCCCCUCUUAAUGCUCCUGACCUCCUUUCUAACUGGCCAUCCCUUGCCGGUAAUUCUGCUAUUUCACUCCUUUCUUCCUUCCUACUACACAUGCCAUAUUUCCACGCCAUUGAGGGCUCCCAAGCCAGUCUAUUGUUCACUGAAUUUUCCAUUCGCGAUCUACUUAUUAUCUCGAGGGACUCCACUAUUGUUGGCUGGACAUUUCUCGCCACAGGUUUUACACACCUAGCCUCAUCCUGAAGAGAUCCUGAAGAGGUUGUACCACUCUCUUCAUGAUCUCUUCAGGAAAUUCUUCAACAUAUUCAAGUAUAAAAUGCCAUU